rnacentral:lncRNA from 1 species
AAGAAUGCAAUAGCCCGGAAUUCAUUUACACAAACACUUCAAUAUCCUUUUGAUCACUUUUGCAAACAUCAGUUUGUCUCCUCUUGUAUUCACCAUGGUUGAUGCCAUCGUUUCCUCUCUUGUGGAGCAGCUGACUUCCUUCGCUGCUAAAGAGAUAAUACAACAGGUGAUCGAAGUUACACUCCCCAUAUUAUAAAUACUUCUAAUGAUUUUAAUUGGUUUUGUUUUUAUCGGAAACAUUAACUUUGCUUUAUUUUAUUUAUUUAGGCAUUUUAAAUUUUAAAAUUUGAAUUGAAUUCAAUUAAAAUGUGAUGUAGCUAGUAACCACUUUUUUUAUUUCAUUUAUAUUCUCAAUAACUACCCAUAUUUUGGUAACUUACUGUAACCCCCGUAUCUAAGAAAUGAUCAAAACCCACAAUUUUAACUCCACAUAAAUAUUCCAUGUUGAGCUAAGUUUUUGCAUAGCAUUCAAGUUUGUUAAAUAGUCAUUAAUUUAAUGUUUAGUAAAAACUUAUCUCUGAAAAUUUUCAUAAUUUUCUUACAUUCUUUGAGUUUGGUGAGUGGCUUCAUAUAAUUUCUUUUCAAUUUAAAUUUUAAUUUGGUUUCUGAUAUAGUCUCUUUACUGAAUUUACUGAAUUUUAAUUUGAUUUCGUUCGGUCUGGGGUGGUACAGGUGAAACUUGUGGUUGGUGUUGAAGAAGAAGUGAAAAGCCUUACCAGCCACCUUCAAGCCAUUCAAGCUGUGCUCGAUGAUGCAGAGGAAAAGCAAGUGAAGGACAAAGCUGUUAGACUUUGGCUGGGUAGGCUCAAGUAUGCAUCCUACGACAUUGAAGAUGUGUUGGAUGAGUGGAUCACAGCUAG